rnacentral:lncRNA from 1 species
CUGAGGAAGUGGAGUGUCCCUGGUCACCUUGCUGAGGCUGGCCUGUGUGCCCCUGGGGCCCUUUAGGCCAAGACGAUUCGACUCCAUUCUUCCUAAGAAGAACCAGCAAAAACCUCCUGGGUUGAAGUCUCCAGUGAUUCAUUUCAACAAACUGUGACAGAAACAAUUUGCUUCAGAGAAACCUUGCUCCCUAGAGAAUCUGUCGAUCUGUGUCACCCUCACGGACAAGAAAAUUCAAGAACCAACCAGCGUGAAUAUGGGCAAAGAGGUGACACUGGUGCCUCCCACAGAUCUUACCUCAAACCCUGACCAAGUCCCCUGCUGAAGAUCCCCCCCUUGGCUCUCCCAGUCCACCAUGACACUCUCCCACCUUGAAUGUGAAUGCCACCACGUCAUAGACUGGGGUUCAGAGCUAAUAAAGAAGAAAGCAAACUGAGCCCUGGUUUGCACCUCUCUCUCUCUCCUUCCUAACUGCCCCGCGGCGCGCAGCCAGCUGCCUCAAGCUCCUGCCACCAUGGUAGCCUUCUUCCUCCAACUGUGAGCCAUAGUGGUGAGAGAAGCGGCUACACAGCCAGCCUCCUGUGAAGAGCCGGAUGGGGCAGAGGACCACAGGAGCUUCCAAAGCCCUGGGUAGAACACGACUGUGCUACACAGCGGCCCGAUGUUCAACGGUGACCUGCUCGCCGGCACAACGUGUGUUCCUGGGCCCCUCUCAGCUCUCCUUUCCUGCACGGGCCCCGAAGAUGACAUCCUGUGCCCCCGCCCGGAUAG